UAAACAUAUCGAACCUGUGACAUC
rnacentral:siRNA from 1 species